rnacentral:rRNA from 1 species
UACAGAGGGGGCGAGCGUUGUUCGGAAUUACUGGGCGUAAAGGGCUCGUAGGCGGCCAACUAAGUCGGACGUGAAAUCCCCAGGCUCAACCUGGGAACUGCGUCCGAUACUGGAUGGCUUGAAUCCGGGAGAGGGAUGCAGAAUUCCUGGUGUAGCGGUGAAAUGCGCAGAUAUCAGGAAGAACACCUAUGGCGAAGGCAGCUCUCUGGGACGGUACUGACGCUGAGACGCGAAAGCGUGGGGAGCGAACAGG